ensembl:rRNA 5S_rRNA 5S ribosomal RNA
UAUAUCAGCCAUAUUACCCUGCAACUCACAACUGGCAACCCACUGAAGCUAAGCAGGUGUGAGCCUGGUCAGUACCUGGAUGGAGACCUCCUGGGAAAAACUAAGGUUGCUGCUGGAA